rfam:Picea glauca, whole genome shotgun sequence.
GUCGACAUGUCCGAGUGGUGAAGGAUAGACUCGAAAUCCGUUGGGCUUUGCCUGCGUAGGUUCUAAUCCUGUUGUUGACA